UUGGAGGGCAAGUCUGGUGCCAGCAGCCGCGGUAAUUCCAGCUCCAAUAGCGUAUAUUAAAGUUGUUGCAGUUAAAAAGCUCGUAGUUGAAUUUCGGGAUCAAUGUUUCGGUCAUGCCGUUGGUAUGUACUGAUAUUAUUGGUUUCUCACCUUCUAAAGAACCGUAAUGCCAUUAAUUUGGUGUCACGGGGAAUUAGGACUGUUACCUUGAAAAAAUUAGAGUGUUUAAAGCAGGCUCACGCUUGAAUACAUUAGCAUGGAAUAAUGAAAUAGGACAUCCGAUUCUAUUUUGUUGGUUUCUAGGAUCGAUGUAAUGAUUAAUAGGGAUAGUUGGGGGCAUUAGUAUUCAAUUGUCAGAGGUGAAAUUCUUGGAUUUAUUGAAGACUAACUACUGCGAAAGCAUUUGCCAAGGAUGUUUUCAUUAAUCAAGAACGAAAGUUGGGGGAUCGAAGACGAUCAGAUACCGUCGUAGUCUUAACCAUAAACUAUGCCGACUAGGGAUCGGAUGAUGUUAAUUUUUUAAUGACUCAUUCGGCACCUUACGGGAAACCAAAG
rnacentral:rRNA from 1 species